AUUGAACGCUGGCGGCAGGCCUAACCCAUGCAAGUCGACCGAGUGGCAGACGGGUGAGUCAUGUCUGGGAAACUGCCUGAUGGAGGGGGAUAACUACUGGAAACGGUAUAUAAUCCCGCAUACUAUCAGAUGUGCCCAGAUGGGCUUAGCUAGUUGGUGGGGUAACGGCUCACAAAGGCGACGACCCCUCGAUGGUCUGAGAGGAUGACCAGCCAAACUUGAACUGAGACACGGUCCAGACUGCGACGGGAGGCAGCAGUGGGGAAUAUUGCACAAUGGGCGCAAGCAUGAUGCAGCCAUGCCGCGUGUAUGAAGAAGGCCUUCGGGUUGUAAAGUACUUUCAGCGGGGAGGCGUUACCCGCAGAAGAAGCACCGGCUAACUCCGUGCCAGCAGCCGCGGUAAUAC
rnacentral:rRNA from 1 species